UGGGAUUACCCAAUCAGAGCCUGUGAAGACU
rnacentral:piRNA from 1 species